GCUCAUGAAUCUUAAAUAGCCGCAGAAAUUCUGUGCUAAGGUAGCAUAAUCAUUUGCUUUCUAAUUAAAAGCUAGAAUGAAAGGUUUAACGUUUUAAUAAUUUUAUUUUUUAUAUUUAUUUAAAUUAUAUUAAAUAUAAAAAUAUAUUUAUUUAUAAAAAAGACGACAAGACCCUAUUGAACUUAACUUUAGUUAAGCUGGGGCAGCUUAUUAAUUAUGAUUUUAAUUAAAAUUAUUCAUUUAAAAAUCCGACAUAGUUGAUUUAUUUAUUAAGUUACCAUAGGGAUAACAGCGUAAUAUUAAUUUAAAGUUCAUAUUAAAAUUAAUGUUUGCGACCUCGAUGUUGAAUUAUAAUUCUAUAUUUAACGCAAUAGUUAUAUAAGUAGGUCUGUUCGACCUUUAAUAUUUUACAUGAUCUGAGUUCAAAACCGGAGA
rnacentral:rRNA from 1 species